GUCUGCGAAGUCUUCAUCUCCCAAUGCUGUCGCGUCAUCAUCGUCGUUGCUGUUAUUGCCCUGGAUGCUGAUCGGUAGUUUUUGUUGUUUGGGAUUGCUGAGGUCGACUUGAGUUCUCGCCAACUGGAAAGAAUUGGCCAUAGAAGCCAACGCAGCCAUGAAUCCAUUGAUUUGGUGUGCGAGGUCGGAUUCGACGAAUGCAAAAGACGGCGACUCGUUGCUAAUGAAGAAUCGGCUGGAGCCGCAGCGGCCUGCUCCACUCCAAGCACGAGAGCCGCUGCUAACAUCGUCGCCAACAUAGCCAAUUUCAUACUGAAGAUGAUGACAAAUUAAGUGAACUUGCCUUUUUUUUUCGUAGCCGUAGCUUAUUUGAUAGAAAACAUACCUGAUAUGGAUGUCUUUUUUUUUAGAACUCCACAGGCGGUCAGGAGUGUACUAGCUUGAUUGAAGAGUUUGUUCACAGAUCGUCUCGUCACACAAGAGGAGAUGACUGCUAGAUUGGAUGAUGCCGUCCCCUUUUUAUACCCUGACGAUCGGGUACUUUGUGCUUGGCUGUUGCAUUGUCUGCAAGCAGAAUAUAGGCUGGUUUGGUACGACGGCGGCCGUUAGCUGCGCAUCGGACGUCAUCGGAGGACUGGCUGAUCCUGAAAUCCUCCGAGACACCAUCUCUCCCAUCUUUUUUUUUUUUUUUUCUGACAUUCGUUCCUCCACGUUCUCUAGUUUUUUAUUUAUUUUUUUUCGUACCUCAUGUUACUUGACACUGCCUUACAGUCCUUUGGUAGUCAGUGCAGCAUCAAGGAACAACACAAAACAAUUUUCUCUAGCUCUUGUUCCUCUCUCCGACUAGAAACAAGGUGGGUGGGAGUUUGGGAAUGCAGCAUAAAGUAUAUAUGGUGUCACGCUCCCUGGAUUGGACGGUAACCUCGCCAUGGGACGAUACGUCUCAAGACACUCAUUGCCACAUAGUGUCUGCGUGGGUUAUCAUUAAAGUUUGACGUUGAAUGCUUUUAUUGUCCUUUUUUAGUUUACAUCGGUAGUUACGUUUGGUAUUGUAUCAAUGCGUUGUGGAGUCAUUUGAAGAUUAAUGCUCCUCAUCAGACUAUAUUGCAAGAUAAUUGGGGUAAUUGGCCUUUAAAAAAAAUACUUGUCGAGACUAGUAAUCACACAACCUAAUUCAAAUCUAGAUUGGAUGAGCACCGUUCGUAGCCCUUCGGGACACUCUGUGUUACUCUUGUAAAAGUCGGUGGCUGAGCACCGUGUAAUGUACUAAUCCAAGUGAACCCAAUUGGUCAUUAGUGGAUGAAGAUAAAACGAUGGUAAUACAAGGCAGCUUGGAGCAAAAUGGUACCAGAGCCUCCAAUCAAAAGAAGCCAUCCAUUUCUUCGGCUUAAUAUUGGGCUUUCCUCUUGUGUCGGCUCAUACAGGUGCUGACGUAGACUUGCAUCUUGAUCAAUCGCCUCAGCAUAAUUACACGACACGAUAUGAAUUAUAAAAAUAUCUGCUGUUGCCUUUUGCCAUAUU